AAACGGAUGGGCCCUCGAAAUCCGUGGGCGGGGGAUUCAGUGGGAAGCGGCGGAAAGCCGUCGGUGGCGGUACCCGUUUUGCGGGACUCGCUCCGGCGGCGCUCCUCCGUCCGGCUCCUACGCAUUUCCACCCGCCCCGAGGACGCCGCAGCCGGUCGGGUAGCUGCGCGAGUCUGGCAUAAGGAGGAGCGACGGAAGGUGUCCGGCGGCGCGUCCGUCCGCAAGGGCGGGUUCGUCGUCGGUCGUUAUCCAGCUGCUCCGUGUCGAGACACCCGACCGAGGUCGAGGGGUCCGAGUUAGGACCCGGCCGCACCCUCUUUUUAGAGCGGGCGCUCCCGCAGGCUGGUGGUCCCGUUCGGUCGUCACUCCCCGAGUGGACCGAGGAGGGUUUCCGCCGCCGUUGGUGCGGAAGCGACCCGCGCACGGGUCGCAGGCGGCUUGCGGCGAGUAGGUCGGUCACCCACCCGACCCGUCUUGAAACACGGACCAAGGAGUCUAACAUGUGCGCGAGUCACGGGGUCUUGUUCAGGCCCGUGGUCGCAGUGAAAGUGAAGGGCGCCGAUGAUCGGUGGCCGCGUUGGGACUCUCCGCCGUCUCGGUCGGAGAAGCACCAACGACCCGUCCUGUCCGCCUCGCGCGGUUGGGCGGAGUGUGAGCGUACACGUUGGGACCCGAAAGAUGGUGAACUAUUCCUGGGCAGGACGAAGCCAGAGGAAACUCUGGUGGAGGUCCGUAGCGGUUCUGACGUGCAAAUCGAUCGUCAGACCUAGGUAUAGGGGCGAUAGACUAAUCGAACCAUCUAGUAGCUGGUUCCCUCCGAAGUUUCCCUCAGGAUAGCUGGCGCUCGGAGGAAUCAGUCUCAUGCGGUAAAGCGAAUGAUUAGAGGCCUUGGGGCCGAAACGACCUCAACCUAUUCUCAAACUUUAAAUGGGUGAGAAGUCCGGCUUGCGUGAAGGAAGCCCGGACGACGAGGAUGAGAGCGCCCAGUGGGCCACUUUUGGUAAGCAGAACUGGCGCUGUGGGAUGAACCAAACGCCGGGUUACGGCGCCCGAUGCGAGACGCUCACGAGACCCCAUGAAAGGUGUUGGUUGCUAUAGACAGCAGGGCGGUGGCCAUGGAAGUCGGAAUCCGCUAAGGAGUGUGUAACAACUCACCUGCCGAAGCAACUAGCCCUGAAAAUGGAUGGCGCUCCAGCGUCGAGCCCAUACCCGGCCGCUGCGGCAAUAGGAAUGAAGCUUAAGCCGCAGCGAGUAGGAGGGUCGCGGCGGCGAGCGUGGAAGGUGCCGGGCGCGAGCCCGCCUGGAGCCGCCGCCGGUGCAGAUCUUGGUGGUAGUAGCAAAUACUCAAGUGAGAACCUUGAGGACUGAGGUGGAGAAGGGUUCCAUGUGAACAGCAGUUGAACAUGGGUCAGUCGGUCCUAAGGGAUAGGAGAAAUCCUUUCCGAAGGUCGUUCUAAGCAGAGCGUGGGUGAACGGCCUUAGACCGAAAGGGAAUCGGGUCAAUAUUCCCGAACCUGGACACGGAGAUGGGUCCCUUCUUGGGGACCGAGUGCGGCGACGCAACCGAACUCGGAGAUGUCGACGGGAGUCCCGGGAAGAGUUGUCUUUUCUUUGUAAGGGUCCGGGUCCCUGGAAUCGGCUCGUCCGGAGAUAGGGAUGCUGGUCCCGUAAAGCACCGCGGCUCUUGCGGUGUCCGGAGCGCUGCCGUCGGCCCUUGAAAAUCCGAGGGAGGAAGUGUGAUUUUCGUGCCAGACCGUACCCAUAUCCGCAGCAGGUCUCCAAGGUGAAGAGCCUCUAGCCGAUAGAACA
rnacentral:rRNA from 1 species